UCUUUCUCUUUCCCUUUGCGCGAAGAGGACUCAUUGAAGGAGGGAGAACCGACACGCUUUGCGCCGGGCCUCCUCUGAGGCGUGCGUACAUGCGUCGUCGUUGUGGCAGGAUCAAGACGCAGAUAAUAACUUCAUACGGAGCGCCGGUGGUCUUCCGCACACGCGGACAUAACAUAUAGCCGAUCGCAGACUCGCGGCAACGAUACACGCCGAUCCGCCUAUAGAAAGAGAAACGCUUGGAGGAGAAAGUUUUGUUAGACUGUUUACUUCUGUAACUGACAUGCGUUUCUUUUGGAACACCCUAUAUGCACAUUAUGGCCGCAUACAUCGUCGAAGCACGCAGUGAUCGUGUAAUAAGAUAUUACAAGAGCAAACCCGCGAGAGCCCGUCGGGCAUAAGCAGAGAACAAGACUCGGUGCCGUGAAGAUAUCGAUUGGAUCUCUCGAAGCAAGCGGUCGUUGAAACAAUCGCGCCGAAACGCGGCGUCGAUCUAACUCUCGUCUACGCACUUAAUGACUAUCAUCGGGACAUCUGCCUCUAUGUACGACGCAAUUCUGAAGCGUCACUUUUUCUGCGGAGCAGCAACAAUAGACGAUUGGAAAGAUAAUCAAUAUAUGAUCGACAGACAGAAUCGACGAAUACGCAGUAAUUCGCAGCUUCGUGGAUCAAAUUGUGGUAACGGGGAAUCCCAUGACACGGUAAAAGCUUUUAACGUGACGAGAAGACAAAAGCUCGCGCGCGCGAAUUGCGAGGAGGAGAGAGACGAUGCGGACGGAGCCGAACUCGAAGAGAGAUCUCGUUUACUCGCUCUACCAAUCUUCUCCUGGGCGCUUAAAGCUCCGUGAUGCUUACCACGGAAUUGGUAGGCCAUAAUAAACCCAGAUCUGAUUACCCCGGGAUUGCUUGAUUUGCAUCCAGCUAUAGUUCACUCAGAACGACGACGUCCCGGCGCGGCGCGACGUAGCGCGGCGCCACGCCGAGCCGAGACGUUUCUUGAGGCGCGCCACGAUGAGAUUGAGAAGCACGCGAGGGUUUCAUGCAUGUCAUCAAGUGCUUCGCAUAUUCCGCCAGGCGUGCAGAUGCAAGGAACUCACUUUGAUAGAGCUCGCUGAUGGAACAGCGACGACAAUGGGAACGUCUCGUUCGCCGAUUUCUACUCGGAGAAUCGCGAGCUACUUCCGCUUCGUAAAUCCGAACGAACUAAUCAGCGCACGGCUCUAUUUAGGGAAAGCAUUUGUUCUGAUUUUCGACAACAUCGACUGUGCAAACUCGAUUAGUCACGCGCUGUAUCGAAGAUAAUUAUGCACACGUUCCAAAAAAGUUAUAGAGUAAAGUGUCCGAAUAUCGGGUGGUUAAUGAUAUCUUAAUAAUCUUUAUGUCAGAAAAUAAAUUUGAAGUAUGCUGUU